AUGUAUUUGAUUACAUUUUGUGUGCAUCAUUCUUUUUCUUUCCUCCUAUGGUAUCUACACCAGUGAUUGCGAUCUUGAGUGAGGGAUCCAUAUUUUAUUCUCAUGAAGGAUCCUCCCAACAAGUGGUAUCAGAGCACACAGUUGUCCAGAUUGUGGCACUGUUGAUCAAGAUUGAAAAAGAUAUAGAAGAUAGACUCAAUUAAGGUAGAGAUCAAUCGGUAUGAUGGAAAGAGUAAUUUCUCCCUAUGGUAAAUAAAGGUGAAGGAUGUGCUCAUCCAACAAGGAUUGAUUAAUGUUCUCUUGUGUAAAGAGAAACGAACUACUAUGG
rnacentral:lncRNA from 1 species